AUUGAACGCUGGCGGCAUGCCUUACACAUGCAAGUCGAACGGCAACAGGAACUUGCUUGCUGUUUCGCUGACCAGUGGCGGUAGGGUGACUACUGUCCGGGCACAUGCGUGAUGGAGGGCGAUAACUACUGGAAACGGUUGCCACAACCGCCUUACGUCGCAAGACCGAAGAGGGGGACCCUUGGGCCUCUUGCCAUCGCCUGUGCCCAGAUGGGAUUAGCUAGUAGGUGGGGUAACGGCUCACCCAGGCGACGAUCCCUAGCUGGUCUGAGAGGAUGACCAGACACACUGGAACUGAGACACGGUCCAGACUCCGACGGGAGGCAGCAGGGGGGAAUAUUGGACAAUGGGGGCAAGCAUGAUGCAGCCAUGCCGCGUGAGGGAAGAAGGACUUCGGGUUGUAAACAGCUUUCGGCGAGGAAGAAGUGAGAGAAGUUAAUACCGGGGGGGAAUGACGGUACCGGAAGAAGAAGCACCGGCUAACUCCGUG
rnacentral:rRNA from 1 species